GAUGAACGCUGGCGGCGUGCCUAACACAUGCAAGUCGAGCGAUUCUCUUCGGAGAAGAGCGGCGGACGGGUGAGUAACGCGUGGGUAACCUGCCCUGUACACACGGAUAACAUACCGAAAGGUAUGCUAAUACGAGAUAAUAUACUUUUAUCGCAUGGUAGAAGUAUCAAAGCUUUUGCGGUACAGGAUGGACCCGCGUCUGAUUAGCUAGUUGGUAAGGUAACGGCUUACCAAGGCGACGAUCAGUAGCCGACCUGAGAGGGUGAUCGGCCACAUUGGAACUGAGACACGGUCCAAACUCCUACGGGAGGCAGCAGUGGGGAAUAUUGCACAAUGGGCGAAAGCCUGAUGCAGCAACGCCGCGUGAGCGAUGAAGGCCUUCGGGUCGUAAAGCUCUGUCCUCAAGGAAGAUAAUGACGGUACUUGAGGAGGAAG
rnacentral:rRNA from 1 species